UGGGCUGUAGCUCAGUGGUAGAGCACUUGCCUAGCAUGUGUGAGGCCCUGGGUUUGAUCCCCAGCACCACAU
rnacentral:tRNA from 1 species